GGGGUUGUUUAGACUCGACAGGGCGUACUUUCAAAAUAGGCAAGCCGAUCUUGAGAACAUGAUCGUAAAAAUCGUUCUCACGAUGAUAAAUGCAAACUUCAUCACCAAGGCAAAGAACGCAUUUGCGCAAGCAUUUGCUCCGUCUUUCGCUCUUGCUCUCGCUUAAUUCGUCCUUCGCUCUUCGGAGCUUCGGAACGAUUGGCGCUGAGCCAUCAGAAUCCUGAUUCUCGAUAAAGAACCUCUGGUGUCAUAUCAUCGAGACGACGCGAGGACAUUUCUUUUUCUUUCAGCCUCAAGUUGUAUUGCAAAAGAAAAAAAUGUAAGAGUUUUUUGUCUGCUUUUUACCUCUUUCAUUACACAAAGCACUCUAAGCUUGUAGAAUAUUUUGGGAAAAUGUUUCUGGACAUGGGUGCAAUUCCCAUCAACUCCACUU
rnacentral:tmRNA from 2 species